GGUAUCUACCCAGGAGUGGAACUGCUGAGUCAUACGGUCCUACCUGGCCAAGCGCUGCUCUAAAACAUGGUACCGUUCCUCCCUGAGGCUUCCUCCAAUGAGUUCCCCAACCCCGGGAACCAGAAGAUCAACAGCAGCAACCUAGAAAGGAAAUGAAAAUCAUUAGCAUUAUAUUUUCAGUAAGAUGUAAUAGAAAACAUCAAAAACUUUCUCACCAUCCAUGGAGUGAAGAGAGAAAAAAGACGAAAACAUCAAAAAACUUUUAAUAGGAGAAAAUGAUAGCUUGAUAGUUUAAUUUUUUAUUACUCUAAUAAAAUUCUAUUACUAGUAAUAUUUAAUUUUUAAAAACGUUUGUUACCUGUAUUAUUUUGUGACUUGCCAAUUCUUUUAUUUUGGGCAGGUAGACAUUUUUUAAGCCCAAGAAUUUGUAGGUACAAAACUAAGAAAGAUUUAGAGCAACAAAUGAAAAAUUAGGGGUGCAUAAAACACAUUUUAAUCUUUAAAUGUCACAUUAUACUAUAAAGUUUUUUCUUAAACGUUGCCUCACUUAGCCACUAUACUAUCCCUCUAGUUUUGAUUUCAGAACUUCUGAUUGAGGUAUAUUUUAUAAAUAAUUGAGACUAAUAAAGAAUAAUUCAAGAAUGUGCCCCAAAUGCUGUAUACUUUAUCCUUAUUACUAUCAUUAAAGUUAUCAUUAUAUCCUAUUUAGCUUUGACUAAAAUCAACUCAAAAGAGAUUAAAGACUUAAAUAUAAGACCUGAAAAUAUAAAACUAAUAGAAGAAAAUACAGGCAGAAAGCUCUAAGACAUUAGUCUGGGCAAUGAUUUUUUGGAUAUGACUUAGAAAUCACAGACAACAAAAACAAAUGGGAUGGCACGAAACUAAAUAACUUCUGCACAGGAAAGGAAACAAUUAACAAAGUGAAGAGACAAUUUACAAAAUGGGAAAAAAUAUUUGCAAACCAUGUAUCUGACAAAGGGUUAAUACCUAAAAUAUAUAAGGAAUUCAAACAACUCAACAGCAAGUAAACAACCCAAUGAAAAAAUGAGCAAGGGAACUGAACAGGUAUUUCUCAAAAGGAGACAUACAAAUGGCCAAUAGGUAUAUGAAAAAAUGCUCAG